rnacentral:lncRNA from 1 species
CUGCAAACAGCUGGGCCAGCCCCAGCGCAGCCACUGUGUAGCGGAAUUGCAUUCAAGCCUGUGAAACAAGGAGCAAUCUGGGGAUAAGGAACACAGGAGGGUUUUUCUCUUUCUUUUUCUUUUUCGGUUUUCCAGAAGGACCUGAGACCUGCUCGGCCGGCUGGCAGAAUCUCUUACAAACUUAGCAGAAUCUUUUUGUCCAAAGAAAAGGAUAGCCACUGACUACCUCUGGAGCAGCUGCUGCUGGAAACCAGGCUCAUGGCAACCUACUGCUGAGAUGUUCUUAUCAAACAUACAGAGGCUGACUCCCCAUCUUAAGGGACAUGGCAACGGAGAACUCGGUGCUUUCGGGAAAAAGAAAAAAAAAUUAUAAGCUGAGAAGGCAAAGCUGACAGAGGAGUUUC